rnacentral:lncRNA from 1 species
UCCAGAGAUCCCAGGGUCUCUUCCAGAGAAACACACUCGUUGCUCCAGUGACAGUGACAUUGCCCCAGCACUUCAUGGGGGUGCAGCCAUCCCAAGUCCACCCUGAUAAACAAUCUUCAGGAGUGCAGGCUACAUGCUGGCAAGCAGACCCUGUGCAUUUGGAAUUAAAGCUUCCUUCCUAAGCAGUUUCCCAAUGUUAAUGUACAGUAAAUGGUUUAAGGAAGGGUCAGGGAAUGUAAGCAACAGAUAUUUCUGAUGUGAACUAGGGCAAGGGGGAGUGGCUUUUAAGUGAAAGAAGACAGGUUUAGAUUGGCCAUUAGUAAGAAAUUCUUCCCUGUCAGGGUGGUGACAGGUUGCCCAGAGAAGCUGUGGCUGCCCCUGGAUCCCUGGAAGUGUCCAAGGCCAGGCUGGAUGGGGCUAGGAGCAGCCUGGCAUAGGGGAAUGGGUUUCUGCUGCCCAUGGCAAGUAGGGAAAAAGGUAGUCUUUAAGGUCCCUCCCAACCCAGCCGUUCCAUGAUUCUGUCCCCAGAGCAGAAGAAACCUCUGCCCUGAUCAGGAAAAGCUGAAGAAAUGUUGUGCUGCCCUUUGAUCUAAGGGCUGUUGCAGGCACUGCAUGGCAAGGACCGUCCUCUCUGGAGACCCUGGCCUGGGCCCCAAAUCCUCAGAUUCCUUGGCACUAGAUGGAGCACGUGAGCUUCACCAAGCAAAGCCAGAAGCGGCCCUAGAGAAGAUCCUGCACUGUGAUCAGCUCUGUUCAGCUUUGGUUUGCCUGUCCAGCCCUGCCGGGGAGCAGGUUGUGGUGGAGGAGGAAGAGGAAAAAACCUGAUUGCUGUGGAGCAGAUUCCCCAUAAAUGGCAUCAUCCAGGUAUGUCAUGGUGCACAAACCAGGGAGGACAGGCUACAGAGGCUGCAGCUGCAGCUUUCCCACAGGGCACAACAGAGAGAGAUUCCCUUGAUCCCAGUUUGUAAUCCCUGUUUAAUACUCCCAGAGAAAAGUUCAAAAUCCACAGGGUUUCCUGCCAACACAGCGAGGCAGAGGGGGUGGAAUUCCUCUGGUGCUUUGGGGUGGAAAGAAUGACAUUUGUAUGGCCUCAGCAGAGGGCCAGCACGGGUGGUGGCAGGUUGGAUUGCAAGCCCCUGCAUCCCACACCUUCCUGGGAGCUGGGCUGUGGCAGGAGGAGAUGGAAUCCUUGUGGAUGUGGCAGCAGGGAUUUGCAAUCCCUUAGGAGGAUCCACGGGGCUGUGGGGUCCUGACCUGUUCCCACACUGAUCCAGGAGGGCUGGUCUGGGGUUGUGGCAAGCCAAGAGGACUCCAGGAUGCCCUUUUCAGGCUAAUGUUUGGACUCAGUGGUCCUAGUGGACUUUUCUGGCUGGAUCCUCCCAAAAAGCAGCCAAAAGGAAAAACCAAGUGCUUGGUUUGUCA